rnacentral:rRNA from 1 species
GUCCUAGCCGUAAACGAUGGACACUAGGUGUUGGUGGUAUCAACCCCGCCAGUGCCGAAGCUAACGCAUUAAGUGUCCCGCCUGGGGAGUACGGCCGCAAGGCUAAAACUCAAAGGAAUUGACGGGGGCCCGCACAAGCAGCGGAGCGUGGGGUUUAAUUCGACGCAACGCGAAGAACCUUACCAGGGCUUGACAUGACCAGGACACCGGCGGAAACGUCGGCUCCCCGCAAGGGGCCUGGCCACAGGUGUUGCAUGGCUGUCGU